rnacentral:lncRNA from 1 species
GUGCCCCACCCCGGGCACACGAGGCCUCCACUGCGGUUGCGCAGCCUGCCGAAGAGCGUGCGGCUUCUACUGCGGCUGCGCAAGCUCGACGCGCGCACUCUUGUCUGCUUACGAGGGCUCCUCCCUUCAGCUUUGGUCCCUCGGGGCGUCUGGGCAGCCUACGCUUUCCGACUGGAAUCAGCCAUUUUACCAAGAAAGUUGGGUUUCUUUUACUGGCAAAUAGUACUUCAAGAGCACAGUCUUAUGUAAGCAUGACCCAUCUGCCUGGCACCAGCACCUGGGGCUGCCAGGCAGCCACCCCUGCAGCUGUGUUGACAGGACCUGGCAGAGGGACUGACCCACCUUUGGAAAAUGACACCAGCAAUAUCAGGAUGUGUCAACUGGAUUUAUGCUAAGAAAAUAGGAUUUUUGGUGUUCCUCUGUUUCCCAAAGUUUGAGACACUUUCAGACACUCUGCUUUGCGGUUGUGGCCGAUGUUACCCAUGGGUGGGACUUUUGCUUUGCUCUAGAUUUUUGUAACACCCUGGGGAGUUUCAGGGGCCAAUGCUGAGAGAAGACCACAGGCUGACACAUCAUGAGGGCGGCGCUGGCUUUCAGGCCGUUCAGCAGGGAUGAGUAGAAGGCAUGGAUGAACAUCUUAGAAGCAGCCACUGGCACAGGCCACAGAGACACGAGGACACACUGAGCGCCGGCAGCCAGGAAGGCCCUUGUCAGCGCGAUGACCCCGUCGGCUGUGACUUUGCUGUUGGACUCCUGGGAGGAGCCAAGCACCACCAGCUUCACAGGCAGCUGCAGGUCCAGGACGUCGGCGGCAGUGCCUAACUUACUGAGAAUCAUGCCUGCUGUGAUGAGCCCUUGGAAACCAUCAGGACUGGAUGGUAGGGGUCCUGAGAGGAUUGGGGGAGGAGGCCUUGAUAUGACAGAGUGGACAGAGGCCGUGGAACCCAGGACAGCCAGCCUGCUCCACAAUCCUCAUCCCCACAGACCUUCAUGUGUGGCUCCUAAAUAAGAGGAAACCCACUCCUGAUAAGUCAGGGGCUUUGAAAAGUGAUUUUGUUUAAAUGGUGCAAACAAGCAAGCCAAUCUUGGGGAGACAGGGCUAAACUUAAGUCCUUUAAGAAGCUCUACAUACUGACAAGAUUCUAGUUCCCUUCCACCUUAUAUGCUGCAAAGUAAAAAGUAUCACUGAAUGAGAAAAUCAGCAUAAAGAAGCCCAAUAAUGUCUGCCUGAGUUUCCCCUAUGAUGACUUUUGGUACUUUUUGGGAAACAUUAAGUAUGAAGUUAUUUCAAAAUAAUUUUUUGGUGCCUCUGCUUGGUGAUGCCUUAAACUCUGGGUAAGAGAAACACCAGGUGCCUGUCAGGAGAUGGCCUUUUCCAGGUUUCUGGUUAAGCUACAAACAGCUAACUGGCUGCUGUCAUCAAAAUAAAAGCUUUCUGAAGGUGGAGGCAUCUGAUACCCAGAGUGCUGCUAUCAGCCGGCACGGUGGGCCGCUGGGUGGCAGGAGCGUCGAGAAGGCCAGCUCGCUUCCUAUCUGGGAUUCAGAAUCAGCUAUGGAAACUUGAGAGACCUAGAGAAAAUAACUUCUUUCACUUUGAACUGAUUCUUUGCUUCAUAAGAAAAGUAUUAUCCAGCCACAAAAAUGGUCAAAAUUCAGAUCUACAAAAGCCUGUCAGGCAGAAACUGACCCCACUUAGGCCACGCCAAUGAGCAAGUCAUCAAAGCAGCCAAGACAGGUCCUGUGGGGGCCACCCAUGCACAGGGCCCAGCCUCGGGUCCUAACCCCGCCUAUGCUUUCCGCCACCAUAAAGAGGCCCAUCUGGGUAAGACCUGUCCCGCCUGCUGUGGGGUAUUAGGGCAGAUGGGGUCUGAGGGGUCUGAGGGCUCUGAGAGCAGCUGGCAGCUCAAGGACAUCCGGAGUUGGAGGAUGGAGCAAUGCAGGCCCUUGUGGUAAAGACAGUCCUGCAGCCGCGCAGGCAGGGAUGCUGCAAGUGGAGUGCCAGGCGGGUGCGGAGCCCUGUGGGACUGUGGAGGGGUCAGAGGGAAGCCAGGAUUUUGGGGUCUCUGAGAGUUUGGAGAAGGGGAAGAAGAUUAAAGCUUGUUUCAAAAGUUUCUAAUCAGGUGGGCAGGGCCAAGGGUGGCUGUGGGGUGAGACCCAUGACUCAGGGUGGCCCACUGUUACUCUAUUGAUUUUUGGGCGUUUUUUUCCAAAUUGAUUAUUCUUGCUGAAUGAGACCUGAGUCCUUGACUGUCCCCUUAAAGCCACCUGACUUGUUUUCAGUUCCACUGGCCUGUCGGGCUGUUUUCUACUCAACUCCACUCUUGCUUGUCUGCCCUCCCUGCCUGGGGCCCAGCCAGCAGUCAGCUCAAGGGCCAGAUGAAUUGGGUGGCUGUGCUCUGCCCACUGGGCAUCGUGUGGAUGGUGGGUGACCAGCCCCCUCAGGUGCUCAGCCAGGCCUCAAGCCUUGCUGUGUACCUCAGAGCAGCUCCGUACCCUGAUGUCACAGCAAAGAAACUUAGACAUGACACAAACUGUGGCUUCCCAAGGCAGCAAAGAAUGGCCAGGGGUCAUGAGGGCCGUGCCCCACUUUUGGACAGACCUACUCUAAAGUCACGCUACCUGCGUGCAAAUCAUAAAAUCAACACUUUUGAGGAGAUCACAGCUAUGCCUUCGUAACACAGCCCAGUCCGACCAGAUAGACGGUGCCUCGUGACCCGAAAACAAGCCCCCGGCCCCCCACCAUGUGUGUGAGCCUUACCUUGGACUGCACGCUGAGGGAGCGGAUGGAAGGGACAGCAAGGAGGCCGAAGCGCUCGUAGAGGUACUCAUUGGAGGAGCUUCCCUUCAGGAGGGCGAAAGGAAUGAGGUAGAGCUCCCCCUCCAGAACCAGGAUGAGCUGCCGGUGCCGGCCCACGGGGCCGCUGGAGUGCAUCAGGCCCUAUGGAGCAAGCACGGAGAGGCUGACAUGGGUGGCCCAGCAGGCAGGGGUUUCAGGCACCAGGACAACCCUGAGCCCUAGCCUGGAUGACACAAGCACGAGCAGGUGAGGCCUGUGGGGGUGUGGGGCGCCAUGGGGCAUGGGCCGAGUUGCAGCCCUGCAGGAGCGGCACCAACUGGCAUGCUCGCUUGUGGACUGGCAAGGGCUGGCCUGGCAGCAUCCAUCUGCCUCACAGUCCUGAGAAGGUUAGAGGACAGUUUCUUGAAGUUCACAAGAACCUGAAGUGGGUUGGAGACCGGUCUGUACCGCACAGGCACCCUGAGAAGGGGUGGGAAUGGCCCCUCUCAAAACAAGAUCUGUUUUCCAUUUCAAUGGACAAGAGGCUAGAAAAUCACAGUGAGGACGGGAGGUCUGGGGGCUGGCAUGACAGCCCCUGUAGAAGGGGAUGGGCUGGGUUCUAGGAUCUUCCGUGACCUCCUCUGAGAAAGAGUGGCCCCUUGGCUCUGGGCUUGGGAGGUGCCGUCCCCACUUGUUCCCUCUGGGGAUGUCAGGGGACCCAAUGCAUGGAUGACUCCCAUCCCUCUUGAAAGGCCGAGCAUGAGGACUCGAGGCAGGGUGUGCACAGGGCCACAGCGGACACAGCCUCAUUCCUGUUCAUUGCAGAACAAGGCUAAGGGCGCGGGCAUCUUAAUGAGAGCAGCAGGCAACAAUCCUGGAAGCUGGGUCCACACAGACUGCGGUGAACAAAGAGGUGGCGUGGAAGCUGCUGCUGCAGCCCAGAGCCUGCCAAGAAGGUCCCAGGUCCACAGGGCCUGCGCAACACUGGGUGCCAGGGGUGGGGCUGGCCUGCCCCCCAACCCCAUCUGCUGAGGAGUGGCUGACAAGCGGACACCCACCAGGGUGCCACUCGCUUGUGCCUGGGGAAGCAAAUGUGCUCGCUUGACCCGUCUGAUGUGCUGCCGUGGGCACUUGACUGAGAGUGGCAGAGCACUAGGCUAACCCAAAGUGACACAUGCCUGGCGGGAUGUUCAGUCUCUGUAAACCCAUAUGGUUUUUUUUUUUCUUUCCUUUAAAAAAAAUUUCUAGCUCCAUCUAGCGAAAGCAGAAAUAAAAAGUAUUAGGCCAA